rnacentral:rRNA from 1 species
UACGGGGGGAGCAAGCGUUGUUCGGAUUUACUGGGCGUAAAGGGCGCGUAGGCGGCGUAACAAGUCACUUGUGAAAUCUCCGGGCUUAACUCGGAGCGGUCAAGUGAUACUGUUGUGCUAGAGUGCGGAAGGGGCUACUGGAAUUCUCGGUGUAGCGGUGAAAUGCGUAGAUAUCGAGAGGAACACCUGCGGCGAAGGCGGGUAGCUGGGCCGACACUGACGCUGAAGCGCGAAAGCGUGGGGAGCAAACAGG